UCUAACCAUCUCAUAAUUUCGUAUAUAGUUCGUAGAAAAUAUGAAGGGGAUUGUGAUUGUUGUUUUCUUCGUCGGAUGCCUAAUUGUUGUUGGACAAUGCUGUUCCGAGCCCGAAUGCACCGAUGAAGAUAGCCAUGCCAAUGUGACUCCGCUCGUCUCAUAUUUAGAUGAGAGCAAGGUUACCUUGAAAUGGUGUGUCGAAAGGAAUUGUAAGAGCAAAGGUGAAGCGUGGACCUUGAACACGUGUGUCUGCUGCAUGACUCUUCGAGACCAACCAAUGUUAUAAUUCUAACAACGAAUGUGAAAAGAAUUGCCCACCAAGUUGAAAUAAGGGUCCGCAUUACAAAGAUAUAUAAAGCAACCUAUUAUUAGAAUAAAAUAGCGUGCUGAUUGUUGCGGGUGGUACCUUUUCAUGAGUCUAUAUAUCUAUGCAAAUAAAAAGUUAGUUGCACUCG